UGCCCAGAAACUCUCAUCUCUACCUCCUUGCGGUACCGGCCGAGGUACGAGAAACUGAAGGAAAAUUCGGGUAAUCAACUCCGGUGGGAACCAUAUACUGACAAGGAAGAG
rnacentral:ribozyme from 1 species